CUACCUAUCUUCAGCAUAAAUGUGUACAUAUUUUCAUUAAAAGCCAUGUAUACCAAUGUUCAUAGCACCAUUAUUUGUACUAGCCCAACAGGGGAAACAACCCAGAAGUCCAUUAACAGAAGAAGGGAAAAAUAAAUUAUGUUGUGGUCAUAUAAUAAAAUAAUUCAGGAAUAAAAAAGAAUGAACUCCAUCCUCAAGCAACAACAUGAAUGAAUCUUGCAGACAUAAUGUCAUACAAAAAAAGCUAGACACAAAAGUAUAAUUUCAUUUAUAUAGAGUUCAAGUAAGGAAAAACUAAUCUAUGGUGACAGAUGUCAGGACAGUGAUUAUCAUGAAACAGGGAGAGGUUGUUGCCUGGGAAGAGGAAUGAAGGAAACUUCUGAGAUCUCUUAAUGUUCUAUUUCUUCAUCUGGAUGCUGAGUGCAUGGAUGUAUUCACUUUUUAAAAAUUCAUUGAGCUGCACAUUUAAGAUUUGUGCACUUUACCAUACAUAUGUUAUUCAUUAUGCUACAAUAAAAAGUAAAAAUAAAAUAGAAUAUUCCCUUCACCAUGGAAUAUUAAAUAUUUUUGCAAUCUGAAAUUCAUGUCACUUUCCCUGAUAGUUUGCAGUCUGGAACCUUGCUUUCCUUCUUUGGUAUUCCCC
rnacentral:lncRNA from 10 species